GAACAAAGAGUUUGUGAAUAACAAGGCUGAGUGCCACGGCCAAUCAUAUCACUCCAUGCGUUACUGGGAACUGAAGAUUGUCAGAGUAUGAGUACCCAAGGCAGAAUUAAGCACCUCAAGGUGAUUCGCUUGAUUGAUUAUGCUAGCAUAAACUUCAUUGACCAAUCUCAGAUCAAGAGGUUGGGGUUCCACACUUGGUCUGUUGCUGGGUGCAGUGUGACAGUAGCAAAUGGCGACAAGAUCCUAGUUGUGAAGCAGUUAAAUGUGGGCAUGAAGUUCACAGCAAAAAAACUGAUUUCUUGGUGCUAGUUCUCAUGGACUGUGAAUAGGUACUGGGGGUAGAGUGGCUCAAGCAAAUAGGGCCAAUUGUGUGGAACUUUACAGGUCAAUGCAGUCUGCUGUUGACAAGCACCUCAAUUAUGACUCCCAUUACCAACAAUGCACGUCAGAAUCAAAAUGCAAACCACAUACUGACAGAGGACCUCCAAAGACAUAUAGCUCACUAUGCUCUGCUGUUUGAAGUUUCGGACGAGCUACCUCAUAGGUAGCAUGAUCAUAAGACCACCUCGGUGGAUAAUUCUCAAACAGUCAAAAUAAGGCCAUACUGAUACCUUAUCAUACAGAAGACGAGAGAGAGAGAGAAAAUGGUUGUUGAGAUGAAUGAUGCAGGCAUCAUCAGGAGGAUGGGCAGACCUAUAGGCAACCCAACAAUCUUCUGGUCAAGGAAAGAUCUUUAAUCCCUUGGUGGAAGAACUAUUGGAUGAAUCAACUAGAGCUUGCUAC
rnacentral:lncRNA from 1 species